GCUAGGCAUGGUGGUGCGUGCCUGUAGUCCCAGCUACUCAGGAGGCUGAGGCAGGAGAAUCACUUGAACCUGGGAGGCGGAGGUUGCAGUGAGCCAAUAUUGCACCACUGCACUCCCACCUGGGUGACAGAGUGAGACUCUGUCUCAA
rnacentral:SRP_RNA from 1 species